UUAAAUUAAUAAGGGCGUAUGGUGAAUGCCUUGGCAUUAGAAGCUGAAGAAGGACGUGGCAAACUACGAAAUGCUUCGGGGAGCUGUAAGCAAGCUUUGAUCCGGAGAUAUCCGAAUGAGGGAACUCACCAACAGUAAUACGUUGGUAUCACAUAAUGAACACAUAGUUAUGUAGAGAACAACCCUGUGAACUGAAACAUCUAAGUAACAGGAGGAAAAGAAAGAAAAAUCGAUUACCUUAGUAGUGGCGAGCGAAACGGUAAGAGCCCAAACCAAUCUAAGGAUUGGGGUUGUAGGACACUUUGUUAGGAGUUACAAAAUUGCUUGAUAGCAGAAUAUUCUGGAAAGGAUAGCUGGAAAACGUGAAAGCCGUGUAUGCGAAAUCAUGCAAUCUCUAAAGUGUAUCCUGAGUACGACGAUACACGAGAAAUUUUGUCGGAAUCCGCGGGGACCAUCCCGCAAGGCUAAAUACUUUCUAAUGACCGAUAGUGAACAAGUACCGUGAGGGAAAGGUGAAAAGAACCCCGGGAGGGGAGUGAAAUAGAAUACUGAAACCAUAUGCUUACAAAAAGUUCGAGCGCGUUAAUGCGUGAGAGCGUGCCUUUUGCAGAAUGAGCCGGCGAGUUAUGGUAUUGUGCAAGGUUAAGUGGAAAACACGGAGCCGAAGCGAAAGCGAGUCUUAAUAGGGCGAAUAAGUACAAUGCUGUAGACCCGAAACCGAGUGAUCUAGCCAUGAGCAGGCUGAAGUAAGGGUGAAACCUUAUGGAGGGCCGAACCAGGACACGUUGUAAAGUGUUUGGAUGACUUGUGGCUAGCGGUGAAAUUCCAAUCGAACUCGGAUAUAGCUGGUUCUCCCCGAAAUAGGUUUAGGCCUAGCCUUGAAUAAUUGCUACCUGGAGGUAGAGCACUGAAUGUGGAAUGGCUUCGUCUAGAGGUACUGACUGCAAUCAAUCUCCGAAUGCCAGGCAAGUAGAUUCAGGAGUCAGUGUAUGAGGUGAUAACGUCCAUACGCGAAAGGAAAUCAAUCCAGAUCAUCAACUAAGGUCCCAAAAUAUAUGUUAAGUGGGAAAGGAUGUGGAGACGCACGAACAGCUAGGAGGUUGGCUCAGAAGCAGCCAUCCUUUAAAGAGUGCGUAAUAGCUCACUAGUCGAGUGUCUCUGCGCCGAAAAUGUACCGGGGCUAAAACAUAUUACCGAAGUUAUGAAUUUAUAUUUAAUAUAGAUGGUAGGGGAGCGUUCUAAGGGCGCUGAAGGUAGACCGUGAGGACUACUGGAGCGCUUAGAAGUGAGAAUGCCGGUGUGAGUAACGCUAGGAGGGUGAGAAUCCCUCCCACCAAUUGACUAAGGGUUCCAGGGUACGGUUCGUCUUCCCUGGGUUAGUCAGGACCUAAGCCGAGGCCGAAAGGCGUAGGCGAUGGACAACAGGUUUAUAUUCCUGUACUGGCUAUAUGACUGAUGGAGCGACGGAGAAAGCAAGUAAGAGCCUAUUAUUGGAUUUAGGUCUAAGCACAAAGAGUGAUGCGUAAGUAAAUCUGCGACAUUAUUAAACUUGAAGUGCGAUGGCGAAGGGUCCCACGGGAACCAAAGUCUUAUGCAGCUAUGCUUCCAAGAAAAACUUCUAAAGAUAUCAUAUAGUUACCUGUACCAAGUACCGACACAGGUGGUCAAGGAGAGUAUCCUAAGGUGAGCGAGAUAACCAUGGGUUAAGGAACUCGGCAAAAUUGCCCUGUAACUUCGGGAUAAAGGGAGGUCUCUUCGGAGACCCACAGAAAAAAGGCCCAAGCAACUGUUUACCAAAAACAUAGGUCUCUGCUAAAGCGAAAGCUGAUGUAUAGGGGCUGACGCCUGCCCAGUGCUGGAAGGUUAAGAGGAUAGGUUAGAUGGACGCAAGUCGAUAACAUCAAAGCCUUGAAUUGAAGCCCCAGUGAACGGCGGCCGUAACUAUAACGGUCCUAAGGUAGCGAAAUUCCUUGUCAGGUAAGUUCUGACCC
rnacentral:rRNA from 1 species